rnacentral:ribozyme from 11 species
AAGAAAGAAAGGUCGGAGAGGCUUUGACAAUUAAAUGAAUGUUUGGUCACUUGUCAAUGUCUCCUUUCCUUUCUUUCUUCCUUCCGUCCAUCCGUCUUUCCCUCUUUCCCUCUCCGUUGUCUUUGGGGCGCUUUGGGGAGGAGGAAAAAAGAAUUUUGUUCUUCACUAGAGGAAAAGAAGAAUCAA